rnacentral:rRNA from 1 species
CUACGUGCCAGCAGCCGCGGUAAUACGUAGGGUGCGAGCGUUAAUCGGAAUUACUGGGCGUAAAGCGAGCGCAGACGGUUACUUAAGCAGGAUGUGAAAUCCCCGGGCUCAACCUGGGAACUGCGUUCUGAACUGGGUGACUAGAGUGUGUCAGAGGGAGGUAGAAUUCCACGUGUAGCAGUGAAAUGCGUAGAGAUGUGGAGGAAUACCGAUGGCGAAGGCAGCCUCCUGGGAUAACACUGACGUUCAUGCUCGAAAGCGUGGGUAGCAAACAGGAUUAGAUACCCUGGUAGUCCACGCCGUAAACGAUGAGUGCUAGGUGUUAGACCCUUUCCGGGGUUUAGUGCCGCAGCUAACGCAUUAAGCACUCCGCCUGGGGAGUACGACCGCAAGGUUGAAACUCAAAGGAAUUGACGGGGGCCCGCACAAGCGGUGGAGCAUGUGGUUUAAUUCGAAGCAACGCGAAGAACCUUACCAGGUCUUGACAUCCCUCUGACCGCUCUAGAGAUAGAGUUUUC